rnacentral:rRNA from 1 species
CCUUUUAUUACUGGUUCACACUACACAGUGUAAUCUAUUCUAUUCCGUACCUUGUAUACCUUUAGGUCUGUUGGUAAAUAAACACAAGAUGAUCAAAACAAAUCUAAUGUUGUAUAACUAUUUACUCCUUUCUUUUACCCUACGUACCCCUUUCUUUAUCAAACAAAGGAAGCGUUUUUUUUUUUCUUUAUCAAACAAAUUCUAAUGUUGUAUAUCUGUUGUCUUCGUAGUGCCUUGUUAGAACCUUCGGAAGUCGAACGGCUAGGUACGCAACUUCCUCAACCGGCACAAUGCCUUCGGUUCCUUAGGUACGAGGAACGAGAACAAGUACGAUAGGUUUACGAGUUGGAGCUUUAAAUUGUGCCGCAGCUGUUUGGUGGUCAACCACUAGAGGAACUCGAGUCAGCACUGUUCGAGCAAGAGGACAUGCUAGAGGCGGGUGUGGCGGAGGAAGGCCCGGUACCGCAGCCGUUACUACUUGGCCGGCAGGAGAGGGAGCAUGGGACGGGUAAGGUUGGGCUUUACUAGUCGGUCGUAGCCGGUCUCGACGAAGGUGAACUUAUGUAGGGGUAACGACGUUAACUUUCGGAGCAAGAAACACUUGCCUAGUUGCCGUCGGGUCUAGAGCACGAGCCGCUGCUCCAGGCGCAGCCUCCGCAGCCACUUCGGAAGGGUCCGCUGGGACGACGGUCCGGUGGAGCCGCACCGCGGGAGGAACGUCGUCUACCGCCGCAUUUGCGUCUCCGACGGGUGAUGCAAGUACCGCGAGGCCCCCCUCUUGGGUUUCUAAUUCCACCCUGCCACGUGCCUGGUCGACUGGCGCGGCAGCGCGGCCCUAUGGAGCAGCUUCUCCUGCAGGAGGACCAGCAUCAUCUUCAACCCCGUCAGGUCCGCACCGUACAGGAGCCACAUCCCGCCCAGGCCCUGCGGCCCCUAGAACGGCUACCUGAGCUUCCCCCGUUGCAUCACGAACGCCGGCCAGACCUCCGUCUGCACCCGCUCGCGCCCCGUCGGCCCCUGCUGCUGUCUCUCGUGCAACGCGUCGUACCGCCGCAACCGGAGGGCCAAGAGCCGGAGGCAGGCCACCGACCUGGUGCGCCGCAUCUUCUGCACGCACUACAGCCACUCCCCGCGCUCCCGGAGCCGCUGCCGUCGCCCCAGCCGGUCCAGCUGAGCGUCCACGCACUGCCGCCCCCACCCGCCUCCCCAGGUCCCUCCCUCGCGCGCCGCCCUCUGGCGCGCAUGUGGAAGGUCCCGGGCGGCCCCCACAGCACCGCGCCCUCCUACAGCUCCUCGCUACACGGCUGCUACGGGCACCUAGGCUGCUGCUCCCGCUGCGAGAUCUUCCGCCCGAGCCGACGCCGCCGCGACAGCAGGACCGCAGAGGACCGCCGCGGCUGGCGCGGGCGGGUGGUGGUCGAGUAGCGCCCUCCUCCCUCCGCAUCGUCGACACUGACACUGACACUCACCACGAACACACCUAGCCGGCCGCCAACCGCCCUCUUCUUCUGAGGCGCAAGAGGGGAGAACGACUCUUUCACUCUUACGUCGUUGCCUGCCGCUCCUUGCUCGUCGUCAAAGGGCUGUUUCCUCCUGCAGCAACACCGGAC